rnacentral:rRNA from 1 species
CAAGUCGAACGAGAAAGUCUCCUUCGGGGGAUGAGUAAAGUGGCGCACGGGUUAGUAACACGUAGGUAAUCUACCUUCGGGUGGGGAAUAACCCAGGGAAACUUGGGCUAACACCGCAUAAUGCAGCGGCACCACAUGGUGACAGUUGUUAAAGCGGGGGAUUUUAGGACCUCGCGCCUGAAGAGGAGCCUGCGGCGGAUUAGCUAGUUGGUAGGGUAACGGCUUACCAAGGCGACGAUCCGUAACCGGCCUGAGAGGGCGGUCGGUCACACUGACACUGACAUACGGGUCAGACUCCUACGGGAGGCAGCAGUCGGGAAUUUUGGGCAAUGGGCGAAAGCCUGACCCAGCAACGCCGCGUGAAGGAUGAAAUCCCUCGGGAUGUAAACUUCGCAAGAAUAGGAAGAAUUAGUAGGGGCUAAUACCCCCUAUGAUGACGGUACUAUUUGUAAGCUCCGGCUAACUCCGUGCCAGCAGCCGCGGUAAUACGGGGGGAGCAAGCGUUGUUCGGAUUUACUGGGCGUAAAGGGCGCGUAGGCGGUAGCACAAGUCAGUUGUGAAAUCUCCGGGCUUAACUCGGAAAGGUCAACUGAUACUGUGCGACUAGAGUGCAGAAGGGGCAACUGGAAUUCUCGGUGUAGCGGUGAAAUGCGUAGAUAUCGAGAGGAACACCUGCGGCGAAGGCGGGUUGCUGGGCUGACACUGACGCUGAGGCGCGAAAGCCAGGGGAGCGAACGGGAUUAGAUACCCCGGUAGUCCUGGCCUUAAACGAUGGAUGCUUGGUGUCUGGAGUUUUAUAGUCUCCGGGUGCCGCAGCUAACGCGUUAAGCAUCCCGCCUGGGGAGUACGGUCGCAAGACUGAAACUCAAAGGAAUUGACGGGGACCCGCACAAGCGGUGGA